CCUACGGGAGGCAGCAGUAGGGAAUCUUCCACAAUGGACGAAAGUCUGAUGGAGCAACGCCGCGUGAGUGAAGAAGUGUUUCGGCUCGUAAAGCUCUGUUGGUAGUGAAGAAAGAUAGAGGUAGUAACUGGCCUUUAUUUGACGGUAAUUACUUAGAAAGUCACGGCUAACUACGUGCCAGCAGCCGCGGUAAUACGUAGGUGGCAAGCGUUGUCCGGAUUUAUUGGGCGUAAAGCGAGUGCAGGCGGUUCAAUAAGUCUGAUGUUAAAGCCUUCGGCUCAACCGGAGAAUUGCAUCAGAAACUGUUGAAGUUGAGUGCAGAAGAGGAGAGUGGAACUCCAUGUGUAGCGGUGGAACGCGUAGAUAUAUGGAAGAAAACCAGUGGCGAAGGCGGCUCUCUGGUCUGCAACUGACGCUGAGGCUCGAAAGCAUGGGUAGCGAACAGGAUUAGAUACCCCAGUAGUC
rnacentral:rRNA from 1 species